CGCCUAACACAUGCAAGUCGAACGCAGUAGCAAUACUGAGUGGCAAACGGGUGAGUAUAAUGUGGGAAUCUGCCUUUUGGUUUGGAAUAACACGGGGAAACUUGUGCUAAUACCGAAUAAGCCCUUACGGGGAAAGUUUUAACGCCGAAAGAUGAGCCUGCACUUGAUUAGCUAGUUGGUAAGGUAAAAGCUUACCAAGGCAACGAUCAAUAGCUGUUCUUAGAGGAAGACCAGCCACAUUGGGACUGAGACACGGCCCAGACUCCUACGGGAGGCAGCAGUGGGGAAUCUUGCACAAUGGGGGAAACCCUGAUGCAGCGAUGCCGCGUGAGUGAAGAAGGCCCUUGGGUUGUAAAACUCUUUCGUCGGGGAAGAAAAUGACUGUACCCGAAUAAGAAGGUCCGGCUAACUUCGUGCCAGCAGCCGCGGUAAUACGAAGGGACCUAGCGUAGUUCGGAAUUACUGGGCUUAAAGAGCUCGUAGGUGGUUAAAAAAGUUGAUGGUGAAAUCCCAAGGCUCAACCUUGGAACUGCCAUCAAAACUUUUUAGCUAGAGUGUGAUAGAGGUAAGUGGAAUUUCUAGUGUAGAGGUGAAAUUCGUAGAUAUUAGAAAGAACACCAAAUGCGAAGGCAACUUACUGGGUCACUACUGACACUGAGGAGCGAAAGCAUGGGUAGCGAAGAGGAUUAGAUACCCUCGUAGUCCAUGCCGUAAACGAUGUGUGCUAGACGUUGGAAAUAUAUUUUUCAGUGUCGCAGCGAAAGCAUUAAGCACACCGCCUGGGGAGUAC
rnacentral:rRNA from 1 species